rnacentral:rRNA from 1 species
UACGUAGGAAGCAAGCGUUGUCCGGAAUUACUGGGCGUAAAGCGCGUGUAGGCGGUACGGCAAGUCUGCUGUGAAAGCGCCCGGCUUAACCGGGCGAGGUCGGUGGAAACUGCCGCACUGGAGGACGGUAGAGGGGGGUGGAAUUCCGCGUGUAGCAGUGAAAUGCGUAGAUAUGCGGAGGAACACCGAUGGCGAAGGCAAUCCCCUGGGCCUGCACUGACGCUCAUGCACGAAAGCGUGGGGAGCAAACAGG